AUUGUAUUCGGAUUUGGGACCUUUUUGACAAUUUUUACCAAAAAUUAAUGAAAUCUAGAAUUAAUGAAACACAAGUCCUUACACAAUUCUUUCAUUAGCUUCAUUAUCAAAAGCUCAGGGUGUUAUAUGAUAAUUACACAUCCAAAUAUAGGUAAGUCGAGAGCUCAUCUCUCUGCAGCAGCCUUUCACUUCGUCUUCUUGAUUUGCUCAUCACAGACUGCACAUUUAAUUCCUUAGACAAUCAUGCAAUAAAGACAGGAACCUUACACAAUGAACAAGUCGGCUAUCGCGAGGUUGCUUUCGCCGUCAGCUGCUCGUCGUGAAUGGCAACUGGACGUUGAUCAAGAUCCGGCUGGGUUCGUUCCGUUUGUGUUGUCGAUGGCGUGAGUCGUCGUGUGCGUCAGGUUGUGGCCUGUGUGUGUGGUUUGUGGUCGUGGGUUGGUUUGGCUGGGUUGCGUGGUGCGUCAGGUCGCGUGGCUGGGUUGCGUGGGUGGUUUUGUGAUUUGGGAAUUAGGUUUAGCUGUUUAAGUUUUCAAUUUUUCAUUUAAUUUUUGUUUCUUUUUUUUUUAAGGAGCAGUGCAAUCCGAUCGGAUUAUUCAGAUUAAUCCGAUCCGAUCCGAUCCGAAUCAAAUCCGAUCGGAUUGCACAAAUUACAUCCGAUCGGAUUUGAAGCAGAAUCCGAAUCCGAUCCGAAUUUAUUC
rnacentral:lncRNA from 1 species